rnacentral:rRNA from 1 species
ACGAACGCUGGCGGCGUGGAUAAGACAUGCAAGUCGAACGGGAGAAUUGCUAGCUUGCUAAUAAUUCUCUAGUGGCGCACGGGUGAGUAACACGUGAGUAACCUGCCUCUUAGUGGGGGAUAGCCCUGGGAAACCGGGAUUAAUACCGCAUACGAUUGAAAGAUCAAAGCAGCAAUGCGCUAGGAGAUGGGCUCGCGGCCUAUUAGUUAGUUGGUGAGGUAACGGCUCACCAAGGCGAUGACGGGUAGCCGGUCUGAGAGGAUGUCCGGCCACACUGGAACUGAGACACGGUCCAGACACCUACGGGUGGCAGCAGUCGAGAAUCAUUCACAAUGGGGGCAACCCUGAUGGUGCGACGCCGCGUGGGGGAAUGAAGGUCUUCGGAUUGUAAACCCCUGUCAUGUGGGAGCAAAUUAAAAAGAUAGUACCACAAGAGGAAGAGACGGCUAACUCUGUGCCAGCAGCCGCGGUAAUACAGAGGUCUCAAGCGUUGUUCGGAAUCACUGGGCGUAAAGCGUGCGUAGGCUGUUUCGUAAGUCGUGUGUGAAAAGCAGGGGCUCAACCCCUGGAUUGCACAUGAUACUGCGAGACUAGAGUAAUGGAGGGGGAACCGGAAUUCUCGGUGUAGCAGUGAAAUGCGUAGAUAUCGAGAGGAACACUCGUGGCGAAGGCGGGUUCCUGGACAUUAACUGACGCUGAGGCACGAAGGCCAGGGGAGCGAAAGGGAUUAGAUACCCCUGUAGUCCUGGCAGUAAACGGUGCACGCUUGGUGUGCGGGGAAUCGACCCCCUGCGUGCCGGAGCUAACGCGUUAAGCGUGCCGCCUGGGGAGUACGGUCGCAAGAUUAAAACUCAAAGAAAUUGACGGGGACCCGCACAAGCGGUGGAGUAUGUGGCUUAAUUCGAUGCAACGCGAAGAACCUUACCUGGGCUUGACAUGUAAUGAACAACAUGUGAAAGCAUGCGACUCUUCGGAGGCGUUACACAGGUGCUGCAUGGCCGUCGUCAGCUCGUGUCGUGAGAUGUUUGGUUAAGUCCAGCAACGAGCGCAACCCCUGUUGCCAGUUACCAGCACGUCAAGGUGGGGACUCUGGCGAGACUGCCCAGAUCAACUGGGAGGAAGGUGGGGACGACGUCAGGUCAGUAUGGCCCUUAUGCCCAGGGCUGCACACGUACUACAAUGCCCAGUACAGAGGGGGCCGAAGCCGCGAGGCGGAGGAAAUCCUGAAAACUGGGCCCAGUUCGGACUGUAGGCUGCAACCCGCCUACACGAAGCCGGAAUCGCUAGUAAUGGCGCAUCAGCUACGGCGCCGUGAAUACGUUCCCGGGUCUUGUACACACCGCCCGUCACAUCAUGGAAGCCGGUCGCACCCGAAGUAUCUGAAGCCAACCGCAAGGAGGCAGGGUCCUAAGGUGAGACUGGUAACUGGGAUG